UACGUAGGGGGCUAGCGUUGUCCGGAUUUAUUGGGCGUAAAGAGCGUGUAGGCGGUUUGGUAGGUCCGCUGUGAAAACUCGAGGCUCAACCUCGAGACGCCGGUGGAAACCAUCAGACUAGAGUCCGGAAGAGGAGAGUGGAAUUCCUGGUGUAGCGGUGAAAUGCGUAGAUAUCAGGAGGAACACCUGUGGUGUAGACAGCUUACUGGACCACUUCUGACGCUGAGACACGAAAGCGUGGGUAGCAAACAGG
rnacentral:rRNA from 1 species